AAUAGAUACCCAGGUAGUCCACCCCGUAAACGUUGGGAACUAGUUGUGGGGUCCAUUCCACGGAUUCCGUGACGCAGCUAACGCAUUAAGUUCCCCGCCUGGGGAGUACGGCCGCAAGGCUAAAACUCAAAGGAAUUGACGGGGACCCGCACAAGCGGCGGAGCAUGCGGAUUAAUUCGAUGCAACGCGAAGAACCUUACCAAGGCUUGACAUAUACGAGAACGGGCCAGAAAUGGUCAACUCUUUGGACACUCGUAAACAGGUGGUGCAUGGUUGUCGUCAGCUCGUGUCGUGAGAUGUUGGGUUAAGUCCCGCAACGAGCGCAACCCUCGUUCUAUGUUGCCAGCACGUAAUGGUGGGAACUCAUGGGAUACUGCCGGGGUCAACUCGGAGGAAGGUGGGGAUGACGUCAAAUCAUCAUGCCCCUUAUGUCUUGGGCUUCACGCAUGCUACAAUGGCCGGUACAAAGGGCUGCAAUACCGUGAGGUGGAGCGAAUCCCAAAAAGCCGGUCCCAGUUCGGAUUGAGGUCUGCAACUCGACCCCA
rnacentral:rRNA from 1 species